AUCACUUUGACUGAAAUGUCAUAUUUGCAAGAAAUGUGCAUGAACUCAGAUACGAUCAGAAACUUUAAGGAAUUGAGAUUGACUUUAUGGAGCCAACCAAGCCCCUUGGAAGAAGUGGCCUGAUACCUUGCUUACAGGGUUCCCAGCAGCCUUACCAGGUAAAGAAGGUCACUUCCUGGCAGAUGCAGGAACCUCAGGAUAUAUGGGGAAUCUCGAGAAGAGAGGAAUUCAUCCAAAUCGACAGACUGCCUUUAAAUUUUGUUGAUGGGUUCCUUUGCUGAACAGACCUUUUUUAACUUAAGUAACCUUCUGCACUCAGCAGUUAGUAUGCGUGAUUUACUCUGAAGAGCAUUGCCAAACAACUACAAAUGUGAACACAGGUGAUCCAGUCUCCUUCCCUGAAAACAACUUUUGAGAAAUUCAAUUUGACCGAAGACCAUCUCCUUCUCCCUUCUGUAGCCACAUUCCAUACUUCUUGGCUCCAAAGGGCUGAAGAAGGAAAAAGCCAAAGUAGGAAGCAGACUAUGCCUGUUGAAAGACUGCUCUUUUCAUUAUUUCAUUUCCUCAUUACAUUGAUACUGUAUGCAUCCAGUUAGAUAAUGUGGUAUUUUGCAUACUGUAAUAUUCGAUAACAUUUGCAUUCUUAUUUAUAAUAUUCAAUUUUAUAUUCACCUGUCUUUUUUUUAUUAUAUAUAUGCCACAUAUCAUUUAAAAGCUAAAGCAUAUAUAUCCAUUCAUAUAUUUUACAUUUAAGUGUAUAUUAUAGGAAAUGUAUCAUAAAUAUGUA